ACAGAGGAGACAGAAAUCUUGAGGUGGGACUUGAGCUUCUUCUAGAGUGAGUCUGUCCCAUAAGGGCUACACUUCAGCCUAGAAGAUGUGCCCAGAAUGCCUGUCACCAAACGUUCAAAGACCCUGUGAGGUACAUCCUGUAGACUGAGGUGAAGCCCUUUUCGCCCAGACUUCCUUCUUGAAGGUAUUCUUGAGUUUGCAGGAUAGCAGAUAAUAAAGGGAACAACUUUCUGAAAUGCUGAACUCCCUCCAUUUAUGAUAUCAAGAAAAAACUGACUGAAAAAUGUUGGAGCCAAGGUGGCUGGAGACUGCACAGAAGCAGCUUGUGAACAUCACAGCCCAAAUUUCAAUCAAAUGUUUUGUACCACCUUCCCCUGAAUUUGACAUACAACCCAUGAUGUAGCAUGAAGAGAUGACUGUGCAUGCUCAAGGACUUUCCAGACCUUCCCUUUCCUUCCACCAAUCACCAAUUAAUCUCCAAACCCACUUCCUGAACCUUUUCUAGUAAAAAUACUGGCUUGAGGCCUACACAGAGA